rnacentral:rRNA from 1 species
AUACGUAGGGAGCGAGCGUUGUCCGGAUUUACUGGGUGUAAAGGGUGCGUAGGCGGCUGAACAAGUCAGGUGCGAAAACCAUCGGCUUAACUGAUGGACUGCAUUUGAAACUGUGGGGCUUGAGUGGAGUAGAGGCAGACGGAAUUCCCGGUGUAGCGGUGAAAUGCGUAGAGAUCGGGAAGAACACCAGUGGCGAAGGCGGUCUGCUGGGCUCUAACUGACGCUGAGGCACGAAAGCAUGGGUAGCAAACAGGAUUAGAUACCCUGGUAGUCCAUGCCGUAAACGAUGAUUACUAGGUGUGGGGGGUCUGACCCUCUCCGUGCCGGAGUUAACACAAUAAGUAAUCCACCUGGGAAGUACGACCGCAAGGUUGAA